GCGCACGUAGAAGCGGUAGCCGAUGGCCCGGCAGUUCAGCUCGCACUUCUGACUCCCCUUCACUGUGGACACAACGAAAGGCCCCGUUACAAAGAGCACAGCAGUAGAUUGGAAAAGGAAAGCUCCUUAAACGAGCGGUAAGGUCUGAGGGGAAGAAACAAAUAUGCGAACAAUGCGUUGUAAGUGACCACAUCAAGUGAAGGGCGAUGAAGAAACCCAUUCCAAGGCCUUCUAGAUCCCAGUGAAAGUUUUGUGCUACGUGGAGAUGAAAAAAUUACCUGCUGGAGCAUGGUAUUUUUUCCUGGAUCUCUCUCAUCCCUCACUUCUGCUGUGAUAGACUGAAAAAGAAUCUAAAUCAAAAAAAACAGUACUUUCAAAGAAACAUCCUUACCAAACCAGCCCUAAGUACCUCAGGAACAUGCUGGUCUUCUCCAAGACUUGAGAACUGGGGUUUUUUUCCCCCAAGUUCUCUGCUGAAACUUACCUUCCACCUUUCCCUAUGAGGAAUAAGAGCCAGACAUACUUCAGCAGGACCACAGCAUAGUUCUACUGCCUUCCACAUCCCCAAUAAGAACACCUCACAUCUUACAAACUGCACAUCACACAGCACACAUUACAGUGAAAACUUUCCACCAUUCUCCUAAGAUUGAUUUUACUGAUCAAACUUAAACCACAAAUAUCAACGCAUUUCAUUGCAGAUUUCAGUGCAAUAGAGGUUUGAGGAGAAAAAUUCAUCUGUCACAUCCACACAUUUUUAAGGGGCAAAAGAGUAAUUUAUGUGUUAUCACACUACAAGGAGUAGCUGGAGUUCAAACUGUGUCUCCAGCAGCAUUCCCGGCUGAGGCCUCGUCUCAGGCCCUGCAGAGGGGAUGGCAGCCGCCUGCCUGCUGGGAAGCACGAG